rnacentral:lncRNA from 1 species
GGUUUAAAAAAAAUAACACUAAAGAUGUUUGAAAAAGCCAUAGGAAAUCAUGGUCUACAGAGUGAGUUCUAGGACAGCCAGGGCUACACAGAGAAACCCUGUCUUGAAAAACCAAAAAAGUGAGUAUAAUCACACACAUAUUUCUGGAUAGAGUGACUGCUCAUGAGGUGAUAACGUUUCCCUCAGGAGCCAUAAAUUAUUUAAAGAAACCCCAGUACCAGAAAGAGGAAGGGAAACAUUUUAGGUUGUUGGUCACGGGUAUCUAAGAGACCUCUGAAACACUACAGGGUUUGCCAUUGCCCUCGAUUGCCUCUGAGAUACCACACACUUUAGACACAGAAGCUGAAGGAAUCAGCUGGAAUUGACUUGGACAUCUCCUCCCUCAGGACCAGCUCUCAGAGUAGCAGAAGAUAUUAUGCAAGCUGCCAAGGGAGAAAUGCAAUCAAGAGUCCUACAGAAAUGUGAAGCAGGUAAACCAGAGCGACCAGCCUAGGAAGACGCUGCUAAUCUUUAUAUCUUGUGGAUAACCAAGCUGUCUAACUGGACUUAAGCCCUGUUCAACAGGAGGGAACUCGCACCUUGUAUUGUAAACCUCAACAACUACUGGUGGCUGAACAAGUAAUAGACCUUAGAGGAGGACCCACUACUGCCAAUUUCCUAAAUCAAUACAGCUUCUAACUGUACUCUAAAUAGUUAUUCCCACAGGCAAACAUAGCUCUUACCCUUAUCGAAAGCACUUUUUUUUUUCUGCAGCAAAGGCUACAGGGAGCCAUAACUGGUCAAAAUGCAGAGAAUAAGUGACUGUGGGGUCCCCAGCCCCAGAUGGAACAUCUGUAAUACAAUGUCACAUGAACUGAUGGAGAACUACAGGCAGUCAAUGACUGCUGGAGGAAUAAUCACCUGAUUGUGAGGAACAACUCUUACACUCACUAAUUUCUCAUAUUUAUCUUUAUUGAUGUCUAUUUUUAAAAAAAAAACAUGAUACUAGGAAACUGUACUGGCUAGUUUUGUGUCAACUUGACGCAGCUGGAGUUAUCACAGAGAAAGGAGCUUCAGUUGAGGAAAUGCCUCCAUGAAAUCCAACUGUAAGGCAUUUUCUCAAUUAGUGAUCAAGGGGGAAAGGCCCCUUGUGGGUGGGACGAUCUCUGGCUGAGUAAGUCAGGGGAAGCAAGCCAGUAAUGAACGUCCCUCCAUGGCCUCUGCAUCAGCUCCUGCUUUCAGACCUGCUUGAGUUCCAGUCCUGACUUCCUUGGUGAUGAACAGCAGUAUGGAAGUGUAAGCCAAAUAAACCCUUUCCUCCCCAACUUGCUUCUUGGUCAUGAUGUUUGUGCAGGAAUAGAAACCCUGACUAAGACAGUAACAUAAAUGGAUAUACUUUGGUACAGAGUUACAGACUGUUGUGAGCUGCCAUGUAGGUGUUGGGAACUAAUUUAAAAAUGAUAUAUUUUGAGCAUACUUCCCUCUGCACCCUUAUUCUUCCUUUCCCACUUGUUAUUAGUCUAUUUUGUACCCUAGACAUUUUCACUUCUACAUUCAUGGUAUAUGUACAUACAUGAGUUUCUUUACAUCUAAAUACUACAUUUAAAGUUCUAUAUAGCCGAGCAUGGUAGCAUAUAUUUGUAAUCCCAAGACUUGAGAGGCUGAGGCAAAAAGAGUGCUAGAGGCCAGCAUGGGCUACUUAGACUCUGUCUCAAAAACAAAUAAAACCCCUGGCAAAAUAAUAAUAGGAAUAAAGCUGUCUUCACUCAGCCCUUUCCCCAAACGCCUACUUAUUCUUAGAAUAAAGCGGAGGACAAUAGUAAUUCCAUCUAUAUCUUUAUUCAUCUUGUUCAUCCCUCACAGCUUUUGAUAGUUAUCAUUUUUUAGAAGAACAUCGGGUUAUAUGUAUUUAUUUGACGUGUGUGUGCGCGUGCGCGCGCGUUCUUGAGUGUGUAUGGAGGUCAGAGGGUAACUUUAGGGAGUCAGUUCUCUCCUUCCACACUGUAGGGUCUGGGGAUUAAACACAGGUCAUUAGGCUUGGCAGCAAACCCCACAUUUUUGCAUUGCUGUAGUGAAUCAGUGUAUAUCACUGGCUUAUUUUAAUAUUAAAGAUUAAAAUAUUUAUUUACAAUAUGGCUGUAAUAAUUCAGCUCACAGCAAAAUUAUGUUGUGGAAUUUAAAGAAAAAAAAAACCUACAUACCCCCCUCCUUUGUUUCCUUCUGGUUUACUCUUGGAGAAAAAUCUCUUUUUAACAUUUUAUCUAUUAUUUUUAUGUGUUUGAUGUUUUGCCUGCAUGCACAGUCGAGGCCAGAAGAGUACAUUGGAUUCCACUGGGACUAAAGAUUAUGAAAGCUGUGAGCUGCCAUGUGAGUGUUGGAAAUUGAAUCCUGUUUUUAACUGCUAAGCCAUCUCUCUAGCCCUCAAGGAAAUUCUUACUUCACUGUGAUAGCUUACACCACUUGGGAGACAGGAGGAUUGCUUCAAGUUCAAGGCAGGUCAGUCUACAAAUGAACAGCAGGACAGCCAGGGCUACAUAGUGAGACCCUAACUCAAAAAUACUAAUGAUGUAAACAUUCACCAUAUACAAGCCAUAUGUCUGUACAGGUUGAGUCUAUUUGGGGGUAGCGGUGGGAUGUUGGUUUGUUUCUCUAUGUAGACCAGGCUGGCCUAGAACUCACAGAGCUCUACCUGCCUCUGCCUCCUAAGUGCAGGGAUUAAAGGCAUGCACCACCAGGCUUGGCUUGAAUCUACUUUUUAACUACUUGGAGAUAAUGUUACAUUUAUGAGCUUCUUUUUUUAAAUCUUUAUUACAUUUUUAUUUUGUGAGCUCUUGUGUGUGUGUGCAUGUGUGCCACAUGC